rnacentral:misc_RNA from 1 species
AUAACGCCCCGUUUUUGUCGCAAGAUUUAAAAAUGGGUUCAAUACCCAAAACCGUGUCUACCUACCUUUGUUGCUUUGGCAGGCCGCCUUCGGGCGUCGGCUCCGGCUGAUCAGCGCCUGCCAGAGGCCCAAAACUCUGUGUUUAGUGAUGUCUGAGUACUAUAAAAUAUUUUA